CAUAAAAUUGCGUAUGCCAAGUUAUUAACAAAUUUCGUUAGUUAACAAUUUGUAAAGUUGUGCUGAUACCAAUACAAGAUUUGAUGUUAAUACAAAUAAUAAUUUCAUUUCUAUGUAGUGCUGAAAUUGUGUACAAUUUUAUUUCAAAUAAAAUUUUUGAAACAUGACACGUCCUCUUUGUAACGGUAUUUAGUUUGUACUGUAACUUUUAAAAAUUAUAAAUAUAUAUUACAUGGGCAUAGCCUGGGGUCCCCCGACCCUCCCCCAUUCCGAAAUGAAAUUCCCCCUCGCAGUGGUGUUGAGGAAUUUAGUGACUGAUUUUGUGCUUUGAUUUUGUGUAUUUUUAGGUGAUA